GUGUGGGUUCUGUGCGGCGUGGCACCGCGAACCAUGUCAGGCGGGGAACCGAGCAGCAUUCAACGGACCGCCACGUGCGCCACAGUCCGCCUAUGCGCC
rnacentral:SRP_RNA from 1 species